GACGAACGCUGGCGGCGUGCUUAACACAUGCAAGUCGAACGGAAAGGCCCUGCUUUUGUCGGGUGCUCGAGUGGCGAACGGGUGAGUAACACGUGAGUAACCUGCCCUUGACUUUGGGAUAACUUCAGGAAACUGGGGCUAAUACCGGAUAGGAGCUCCUGCUGCAUGGUGGGGGUUGGAAAGUUUCGGCGGUUGGGGAUGGACUCGCGGCUUAUCAGCUGGUUGGUGGGGUAGUGGCUUACCAAGGCUUUGACGGGUAGCCGGCCUGAGAGGGUGACCGGCCACAAUGGUACUGAGAUACGGCCCAGUCUCCAACGGGAGGCAGCAGUGGGGAAUAUUACACAGUGAGCGGAAGCCUGAUGCAGCAACGCUGCGUGCGGGAUGCCGGCCAUCGGGUUGUAAACCGCUUUCGGCUGUGACGAAGCGUGAGUGACGGUAAUGGGAGAAGAAGCACCGGCUAACUACGUG
rnacentral:rRNA from 1 species